UACGUAGGUGACGAACGUUAUCCGGAAUUAUUGGGCGUAAAGGGUGCGUAGAUGGCCUGAUAAGUUAGCAGUGGGAAAUCGAGGCUCAACCUCGUGGAAGCUGGUAAUACUGUCAGGCUCGAGUGCAGGAGAGGUUAACGGAACUCCAUGUGGAGCGGUAAAAUGUGUAGAUAUAUGGAAGAACACCAAUAACGGCGAAGGCAGUUAACUAUUCUGUUACUGACAUUGAGGCACGAAAGCGUGGGGAGCAAAACGG
rnacentral:rRNA from 1 species